UACGGAGGAGGCAAGCGUUAUCCGGAAUUAUUGGGCGUAAAGCGUCCGCAGGUGGCACUUCAAGUCUGUCGUCAAAGACUGGGGCUUAACCCUGGAAAGGCGGUGGAAACUGAAGCGCUAGAGUGUGGUAGGGGUAGAGGGAAUUCUCGGUGUAGUGGUGAAAUGCGUAGAGAUCCGGAGGAACACCAGUGGCGAAGGCGACACGCUGGGCCGUACCUGACACUGAUGCGCGACAGCAUGGGGAGCAAACAGG
rnacentral:rRNA from 1 species